rnacentral:SRP_RNA from 1 species
UCGUGCUAAGCGGGGCGCUAGCGGUGCCCUGUACCCGUAAUCCGCUCAAGCGGGGCUGAAUUCCCCCUCGAGGGCUGACAGGUCUUUCAGGUCUACUGGGGUUCGCGGUAUGGAAAGUUGCGUCCUGCGCGGCGGGGACCUGUGAACGAGUCAGGGCCGGAAGGCAGCAGCUAUAAGCAACCAUCCCCGGGUGCCGCAGGGGAGCGUGACUGGAGCCGAGGGCCUCAGCAAGCUGGGGGGCCGGGUUCGACCAGGGGGUGCACGA